UAUGAAGGGGGCUAGCGUUGCUCGGAAUCACUGGGCGUAAAGGGUGCGUAGGCGGGUUUUUAAGUCAGAGGUGAAAUCCUGGAGCUCAACUCCAGAACUGCCUUUGAUACUGAGAAUCUUGAGUAUGGGAGAGGUGAGUGGAACUGCGAGUGUAGAGGUGAAAUUCGUAGAUAUUCGCAAGAACACCAGUGGCGAAGGCGGACUCACUGGCCCGGUACUGACGCUGAGGUGCGAAAGCGUGGGGAG
rnacentral:rRNA from 1 species